UGGGGAAUAUUGCACAAUGGGCGCAAGCCUGAUGCAGCAAUGCCGCGUGAGUGAAGACGGCCUUAGGGUUGUAAAACUCUUUCGCUAGGGAAGAUAAUGACGGUACCUAGUAAAGAAGUCCCGGCUAACUCCGUGCCAGCAGCCGCGGUAAUACGGAGGGGGUUAGCGUUGUUCGGAAUUACUGGGCGUAAAGCGCACGUAGGCGGACCAGAAAGUUGGGGGUGAAAUCCCGGGGGCUCAACCCCGGAACUGCCUCCAAAACUAUUGGUCUAGAGUUCGAGAGAGGUGAGUGGAAUUCCAAGUGUAGAGGUGAAAUUCGUAGAUAUUUGGAGGAACACCAGUGGCGAAGGCGGCUCACUGGCUCGAUACUGACGCUGAGGUGCGAAAAGUGUGGGGAGCAAACAGGAUUAGAUACCCUGGUAGUCCACACCGUAAAACGAUGAAUGCCAGUCGUCGGGUAGCAUGCUAUUCGGUGACACACCUAACGGAUUAAGCAUUCCGCCUGGGGAGUACGGUCGCAAGAUUAAAA
rnacentral:rRNA from 1 species